CUUCAACUCGUCCUGUGCUCAGAUGGUGGAAGCCAGUCUUUCGUCCUCAUGAACUAUGGGAGAAUUCCUUCUAUUCCCUCUACUUACUGGCUGGCUGGCUACGACUUUCUGAACAGAGAUUUCGUCACUAUUCCAGUGAACGAUACCUCUGAGCUGUCUUCAUCUAGUAACGUCGAUAUCCCUGGACGCUGGGCUUUUCAGUUUACAGGAGGAAUACCAACAACAACAACAACAACA